CGUUGUCCGGAUUAUUGGGCGUAAAGCGCGCGCAGGCGGAUCUGCCAGUCUGUCUUAAAAGUUCGGGGCUCAACCCCGUGAUGGGAUGGAAACUACAGAUCUAGAGUAUCGGAGGGGAAAGUGGAAUUCCUAGUGUAGCGGUGAAAUGCGUAGAUAUUAGGAGGAACACCAGUGGCGAAGGCGACUUUCUGGACGAUCACUGACGCUGAGGCGCGAAAGCCAGGGGAGCGAACGGGAUUAGAUACCCCGGUAGUCCUGGCCGUAAACGAUGGGUACUAGGUGUAGGAGGUAUCGACCCCUUCUGUGCCGUAGUUAACGCAGUAAGUACCCCGCCUGGGGAGUACGGCCACAAGGUUGAAACUCAAAGGAAUUGACGGGGGCCCGCACAAACGGUGGAGUAUGUGGUUUAAUUCGACGCAACGCGAAGAACCUUACCAGGUCUUGACAUUGAUGGACAGGUCCAGAGAUGGACUCUCUUCUUCGGAAGCCAGAAAACAGGUGGUGCACGGUUGUCGUCAGCUCGUGUCGUG
rnacentral:rRNA from 1 species